AAUAAGCGCUGUUGUAGGUUUCACUGUCUAACUUUAAUCAUCCGUCUUAUUUAAAAUAUUUUUAUUGUUAUUAGAUGAUAAAAUAUAAAUAGUACUUUAUGCGUGACUUAACUUUUCAAUUUUUUUCAUAAUUUUUUUCAAUAAUAUGGACGGUUACACGUUGGGCAUGGAAACUUGCUUCACUUAUA
rfam:Oryza glaberrima chromosome 12 Oglab12_0145_7, whole genome shotgun sequence.